GACGAACCGUGCGAACGUUGUUCGGAAUCACUGGGCUUAAAGGGCGCGUAGGCGGCUUCCCAAGUCCGGGGUGAAAUCUUUCGGCUUAACCGGAAAAGUGCCUUGGAUACUGGGAGGCUCGAGGGAGGUAGGGGCAAGCGGAACUUCCGGUGGAGCGGUGAAAUGCGUUGAUAUCGGAAGGAACGCCGGCGGCGAAAGCGGCUUGCUGGACCUCAUCUGACGCUGAUGCGCGAAAGCGUGGGGAGCGAACAGG
rnacentral:rRNA from 1 species